GUGGGUGACGCGGCUGCCGCGCCCGCUGGCCUUGCACCCGGGCGCCACGGCGUCCUCUCUGUGGAAAACAACAGGCGGGCGGGUGAGCGGGCUGCUCCGCAGCGGGGCGUGGGCACGGCCUGGGCAGAGCCGGGGGCUCUUGGCAACCUCUUGUCUCCCGCGCCUCCCUCCACCUGCCCUCGUCUCUCUCCCUCGGCCUCGACCUACUGUCCUUUGUGACCCUUCCUGGGUCGGCGACCCUGCAGCGGUCCCGGAGCCAGCAUCCCCAUCCUCCAGACAGGGCUUGUCCACGCGUAUCUGGAGAGCCCUGCAGGCAGCCCCCUCCAGGCCCCUGCAAUCCCUUUCUGAUGUUUCGCAGGCCCAGAAGAAGGCCCCUCCGCCGACCCCGCCGCCGUUGCCGUAGCCGAAGGCACCGCGGGCGCCGCCAGCCCCGGAGCCCCCGCAGCAGCAGCAGACGAGCCCCCAGAUGCCUACGGCCAGGCAGCCCAGCGCGAGCAGAGAGCCCAGGACGAUGCCGAUGAUCACGCCUAUACGCCGGGAGUCUGUGGAGAGAAGUGGAGGCAGCUCCAGGCCAAGAGAACAACAGCUCAUUCCUGAGAUAAGGAUCCUGCUGCCAUCUGCCAGAUCCUGAGGCUGCUCAAGGCAAGCCAGGGAUGAGCCAGAACUCGGCUGAGAGCAGAGGCUCCACCCUGGAGAAGCACCGCUGGAAGCACCCACACAGGAAGGACUCUCUCCAUGCCAUAGGAGCCUGCCAGGCAGGAUGGUAAGCAUUCAGGGAGAGGGGCUUGGGAAGGAGCGACAGGCUGCAAGAAAAGCACCUCCACCCUGCACCAGGCUGAGAGAUUCUUCAAUUGUCCCAGACCAGGGAGCCUCACCCAGCUUUUCUAUCUCCUUAGAAGUCUUCUCAACCUCCUCCCAAGGGUUCCAGCCUUUCCGCACCCCUCCCUCUCCUUGGGAAGUUGCUCCUAAUGUCUCACCUUGAUUCCUCUUGCUGUAGCACUAAGGAAGUACUACAGGGAAUGUGAGAGGAGAGGCUGGAGAGAGGGAAGAAAGGCAAAGUGGAAGAGAGAGCUGGAUGGGAGACUUGAGGAGAGACAGGAAUGGAGGAAUCACAUGGGCUCUCCAAGGAAGAGGACAGUGGUGAUUCUUUGCCCCCCAAAAGCACCAGAAACUGGCCAUGCUUUACGGGGUGUCAUCUCAAUAGUGGUGCCUACUCUCUGCUUGCAAAUUCUUUCUGAAUCUUCAAGGUGCUUCCAGAACUCCUGAUCUUCCCUCUGGAGGUAAGGGAGGGGAGAAAAGGCGGCUCCAGCUGAGGGUAUUGAUGCGUUAAUGCAGCCAGUGCUGAGUUGUCCUCACACACCCAUUGACACACCACACAGGGGGAAGUCCGGGUCCCCACAGCACAGCUGGAGCCUCCCGAGUGGACUCUGCCAGCCCUGCUCUCAUCAGACAGAGAAGGGCUGCAGCUAUCCUGCCGGAAAUGUCAUCAUUCCCAUGCAGGUGCACGCACCCACACACUCACAUACACAUUCACGCUCACACAAAGGCUGAAAAUGUCACCCCGCCUUCCCAAAUUCCUCCUUCAUGCCCCUUCAUCCCAAAUCCAGACUGCAAGAGGGACUCGGAGCCCUUUCCAGUGAUGUUGGCAUAGAAUGCCCCUUGGUGGAACUUGCCCCAACCUGGGCAGGAAGCCACAAUGUCCAAACUUGAGCCCUGCCCUGUGGACCUGUCCUGGUGGGGUGAGAAGUCUCUGGAGUUGCCAUCCCCACCACCCUCAGGCCUCAUCCUAGAGUGGGGCACUGCCCUGUCAUAGCACAGGGGGCCCAAGGCUGAGGUCUCAGGCCUGAGCUGUCACUGGCCAUGAUGGAAGAAACCACUCAGACUUACACCAGACUUAGUCUCUUGCCCUUUCAAGGCAAGUGACUUCCCUGCCCCUUGGCCCUGGCCUUGGGAGAGAAGGAGUAGCGUUGGGAAUAGCACACAGUCUGAUGAAAAUUGAUCCUUCCCAAGCUCCUCCUGAGCCCUCACCCAAUGCCCGUGCUUACCCCUCUCCUACCCCACCUCCAGCUCCUGCAGAGCAAUCAAUCCCUCUCCUCCUAGUCACGGCAUGAGCUUGCAGGGCACCUGCACACAUGUGUGAGCCCGACAGGGGACAUAUAAAGAUCCACUCAAAGACCUCUGCACUACAGACACACACCCUGAACAUCAGGCACAGGGUCUCCUGGGGAAAGGUCCCCUGGUAAUACCCACACCCGGCUGCAGCAGGGCAAGGGUGGGCAGCACCCUGCCAGGCAACUCAGGCAGCCCCAGGCUCCACUGUGAGCCCUUGCUGCCCCUUUCCUUCCCACCUAGCCUCAUGCUGGCUACCCUGCCCCCUGCCCAGCCCCGUACCUGGGCUCAGGCACACGAGUAGAAGGUGGAAUGCUCCUCCAACUCUCAUGUCUCUAGGCUCGGUGUUUCCUCCGUCUGGGCUGGGUAUCCCGUGGGGUCGUAGUGGUGGGUGUGAGGGGGUAGGUGGAGGGAGGGGGAGCUGAGGGCCCAGACACUGCCUGGGGUGGCAGGAAGGUGCAAUGAGUGCCCAGCUGGGGAGCAGCUGGAGUUAUUUCUAUGGGAGGGAGGGGGCCUGGUCCCCGCCUUGGGGAGGAGUCCCAGGAACCCUAAUUAGCAGGGUGACAGGGUGGCCUACCUGGGCAUUACCCAGCCCUCACCCAAGCUCUUCCCUGUCCUAAGAGUGGCACAGGACAGCCAGCGGGACUUGUAAUUAGGCACCUGUUAAACUUCACUUCCUCCUGGCCACAUCCUCAGGGUGACAACAGUCACCUCAUUUACAGCUUCCAAGGGCUCCCCUCACCACUCAUUUGCUGCCUCCUUCCCUGGGGGAAGUGGGGAAGAGGAAGGAGAAGCCAGGCUUGGGAGAAAGAGUGGCCAGGACCUGAAGAGUUAAUCCUGAUCCCAGGGCAUAGGGUUCCCCAGGAGUGUCCAGCCCACCUUCCCCCAGGCUUCAGGCCUUUCAAAGGGACUCAGGCCUCCUGAGCUGAAAGAGGAGAGAAGGGGUGUGUGCAGGAACAGAGUCUCCUCCUGGCUGUCCCCUCUGGAACUGUCCUCCACACCCAUACUCGACUCAAGGCCAUCCCCAAGUGUAGGGGACCCCUGGGAGCAGGGGUGCUAUGGGGGGUCCAGGGUGUGUGCUAGGAGUAAGGUGACUGAUGGGCUAGUGAGGGAGUGUUGGAGAGAACAGCGCCAAGAGGACCAGGGAAGGGGGUGCCUGUGUAAGCGUGUGCACCCCUCAGCAAUGUCUGUGGGAGGGAGGCAGGAUGUCUGUGUCAGGGUGUCUCUGUGAGGAUGGCUAAGCCCCUCUGAGUGAACUUCUUGAGGGAUCGCUUGGUGUCCUGGCUUCUCUGCCCAGAAAGAGUAGCCAGGUCUUGAGGGUUAAUGCAGUCCCAGUAUUAACUGGGUCCUUGAGACCAAGGACCCUCAUAACCUGGACUGGUCAUCGGGCUGACUAAACCAGCACAGUUCUGGGUAAGUUCGUGCUGGGGUGGGGAGGGUCCUGGUAGGCAUGGGGAGCAAGUGAAGGGCCACCCCUUGUUGGCUUGUCUAAGGGGGACAGAAUGGGCAUGUGCCUUGUUGGACUCCAUGGUGGGAGUCAGGACAUGAGUGACCCCAUUCAAUAGCUCAACUCCCUCAAAGGAGUCAGGGACUGCCCCCAUCCCUACCAUGGGGCACAGAAAGGGCAGAGGAGGAAGAGUGUUAGGGAGAGUUAUGGGGCUCAGGGAUGCUGCCAGGGCCCACCCCUCUGGGGAAAAAUAAGUCAGAACAUUAAGGAAACACAAGGAGUCCACGCGUCUCUGCAUUCCAAGCCGUUGCACCUGAACUCCCAACAAUAACAGGGCGCUCUGAGACCUACCAGAUGUACACAAUGAAUAUCUUUAUUUCCUUAUUUAUUUUUAGGUUUAUGGGAUUGUCCUGCUCCCUUUGAAGAGCAGGGAUCAUUAUCCCCAUUUUACAGAUGGGGAAACAGAGACCUGGAGAAACAUGGGGAUUCAGCCAAUGCGGCUGGUGCCUAAGCUGGGAUACCCAGGUACCCAGGGUGUCAGUCCAGAGAGGUCCAAAAAAUGGUCUUGGUGAUCCUGUGGAUUACUAGACCCACUCACGAACAAGAACCAUGGAAGGUCAGGGUGAGUGGGAGGGAAAACAGGUCAGACCACGAACAGAGAGAUUGAGGAGAAAGCAGUAACAUUGUGGUUCCACUAAACUACAGUGCAGGCUUCAGAUUUAAUUGGGUUCUGGAUGUGGGCUAAUGUUAGAGCUGGGGUUAAGUUUGGGGUUAGUUGAAUUAUGAAUGAGGUUGAGGUCAGAUUUGAGGUUGGGAUUAGAGUUAAGGUUGGGAUUAGGGUUAGAAAUACAGCUAGAAUUGAGGCUCAGGUUUAUGGCUGGGAUUUGUGUUACGAUAAGGAAUAGAGUUUUAGUUUCAUUUACAGCUCUGCCUGGGAAUACAGUUAGGGCUAAAUCAAAGGCUGGGUUUAGAUUGAUUUAGCAUUGGGUUAGAACUAAGUUUGAGAUUCACAUUGAAAUAGGCUGUGGUUAGGGUUGGAACAUGGUUUAAAGACACGUAAGCAGCGGGAGUUGAUGGGGAUCAAAGAUGAGGUUUUAUUUCUAAUAUAGAAAGACUUCAGCCUCCAUCUGCUAAAUCCAGGUUUGGCUAGAAUUUUCAAUCCUUAGUGCGGGGAGACUACUAAUGGCACAUGUUGAUUGGGGUCCCAAGACUUGGAGGAGGAAGCCAAAUGUACACGAGCCCAUCUAAGGGGUAUGAGGCAACUAAAUCCCAUAGAGAAUGGACCCUCUGAAGUCCUGCUCCACUACUAAAGCUCACCACCUGGCCAAGCUCCAGAAAAACAUCUGGGGAGGAGACGCAGGAAGCUACUGACAAUGAGUUGGGCUCUGACACCAAACCGAACUAGAAGAUGGGGUCCAUCAGAGGGAGUCUUACUGAGUGGGGAGGAGGGGUGGUCUGGAUUUGGAGUCCUUAGGAGAUGGGAGUUGGGAGAAACUGAGGGCCUACAUGCUCCUAGAACAGCCACUUUAUGGGGCACCACAUGGGGGUCUUUCAAAGCCUGAAAGGGCAGAGUGCCAUUGUUGUUUCCCCUUGACCCUCUGAGGCUUAAUUGCUACCUUCUUGCAAUUUGAGUCCUAUAAAAGAAGCUGUCAGCCUUCCAGCCCUAAACCCUGAGCCCUGCAGGGUUUUCAGGGAGGGCAGCAGUGGGGAGGCUGUGGAUGGGGUGAAGGCACUGGGGUGUCAGCAUAGUUUCCAAAGCAUAUGUCACAGUCCUACAGUCCCCUCCCUCUGGGCCCAGCUCACAGUCCGUGUAAGUCUCUGGGCCUUAUCCUCAGCAGUGGAAGAGGGCCCCACUCCUAGGAAGACCCCGUCCCAAUUCCUCCCUCUCAUUUUUCCCCAACCAGUCUCCAGCCCAAACAUCUCAUUUCCCCACCCACUUCCUUUUCAGGUUUUAUAAAGGUCUGGUCCAGGAGACUACUGGGGUUCCCCCUGUGACCCCAGAGAGAGAGAAGAAAGAGAUUGGGAGAGAUAGUGAUGGUCUAAAUGGCCCCUCCAGAGACUCAGAGGGAUACAGAGGAGGCAGAGGGCCCAGGCCACGAGCUGGGAACCAAUACAAAUUUCCAAAAGGGCCCCUUGCUUUUUCCUAAGAAAUCCAUGACUCUCCAGGGAAGAAUGGCCCUGCUUUGACUGGUAUUUGCUUCUAUUCUAAGACAGUAACAGAAAAUCAAAGACUGGCUUAGAAAGGAGUAAACAGGGAGAUACAGGAGGUAGGAAGAGGCUGGACAAAAACUCAGAGAAGGCCACAGAUUGCUUACCAGAUGAAGUGCAGCCCAGCCCCAGAACCUUUCUGGGAAGGACGGACAGAGGGCUUGGGCUGCCUACUCUUCCUCCAAAGCCUAUUCUUCCUCCAAAGUCCCUUUCAUGGCAACUCCACCCCACUCCUCUAAGCCCUGCCCUCCCCUGCCUGUACUUGCCCACCCCAACCCCUCUCAGUGGCCGCCAGACUCCCUGGGCUCAGGCUCAAUCAAGCUCCCCACAACCCCUGCCUUGGCUGGCACUGCAAUUUGACUCAUUCUAAACUCCUCCCCACACAGUCAGCAAGCUCCUCAGCCCCCUCUCCCAAGUCCCCAUGUAGCCCAGGGCUCACCCUGCAGCACCCAGGGAGGAGCUGUCCUGCAGAGGAAACCUCUGAGGUAAGACUCUGGGAGCAGAAGCUGUGAGUGACAAUGGAUAGGCAAAGAGUCACAGAGAAGCCAAGGAGCCUUGCAGCUGCUGUCUGUCCACCCAGCUUUCAGUGAUGAUUUGGAGGUGGAGGUCUGCCAGGACUAGAUGGCUCCAAGAAGGAACCCUUCCUCCCUUCCUCUGGCUCCAGGAGUGGCUGCAGGGCUCUAGCCACAUCUGGCCACUUGAUGCCACGGCUGACCAGACAUGCUCAGUAAGGGGCCGCAGUCCGACACAGCUCCCGGGGUGUGUGCUAGAUGUGCCUCUCCAGCUUGUGACACAGGAAAACUGCUGCAGAGUGAGAGUCUUCUAAAUGGAUUAAGAAGCCUAUCUCAAUCCCUCUGGAGAGUCCUCUUCAAUUCACAAUGAAGAUGUUGAAGAGCAGGGACAGACAUCAACACUCCUCUCCCCACCUUCCCCACUGGCAGAGGCAUUCAGGUCACUACUAGUGUCUCUCUUUCUCUUUUCCCCUUCUCUUAAUCUCUCACUGCCCUUCUCUCCAUGUCAUAUUCUCUUUUUCUCCUUCCCUCUCUUCCUUCUUACCUACUAAACUCCAUAUGUACCAAAAUCAGUCAAAGCUCUACUAUCUAGCUCUCUUUAUCUAGACUAAAGGAGUUGUCCACCUCUUGGUCUAGAUAACACUUGCAAAUAAAGACCUGCUCGUUUCCCAAAGCUAAGUAAUUGUUUUAGUUGAGCAACUGGGAAAGGAGGAUGGUUUUGUGUUGUACUCUGAUGCUAUUAUCCUUGGAUGGAGCGGGGAAGAUGUUGCUAUUGUCUGCAAGCUUAGCCCAUCAGCCCUGCAAUGUUUCCAUCAUGGAGCUCAACUGAGCAACUAUUGCACUCUCUGCAGCUGAGCCUCCCUUUUGACAUUAUAACAGAUUUUAAACACUGUGAAGACAUGAGAGAUUCUAGGGUGGAAGAAGCUAGGUGUCCCUGUUUACAUAGGCCCCACUAGAUCCCAAAGCUCUGCAGCUCAGGUCUCAGAAUUCCCCUUUGUCUUCAGUCUGAGAGUUACCUACGAGAGCAAGGUUACUCAGCAGAAGCUUUGCCCUGAGCUACAUUUUUGGGCCUCUGCCUGCAGGUGGCAUCAACUUGAAAGGACUUGUUGAGGAUUACCUUGAUAUCUCCAAAGAGGCUCUCAUCCACCUCAGAGCUCACGGCUUUGGUCCGAUAGCGAGCCUUAUUCCUUGACCUGUUGGAAGCGGCAGAAGAGGAGCUCAGGAUGCCAGCUGUGCUUAGUGGCUGCAGGAAGAGGCAGAAAGUUUGGGUCAUCAGUACUGAGUGGCAUCCAGACCCUGGGAAGUCAACAAUUCACCAGCCCAUGCUGGGGGAGUGGGUGGGCAUGUGAAAAAGAAACAGUUAGGGAAAGCGGCUGUGUAAACUCUGAACCAUAGGGGACAAGGAGCAACAGAUGGAGGGCAUCCCCACAGAGCAGGGAAGGGUCUCUGCAAAAAAAAGAGCUCUGCAUAAAGCAGCAUUUGUGUAAAACAGUUGAUCUCAUAGAAGUACAGAGUAGAAUGGUGGUUACCAGAGGCUGAAGAGAGGAAGGGGAGGGGCAUGGGGAGAGGUUGGUCAGUGAGUGCGCAGUUACAGUUAGAUAGGAGGAAUAAGUUCUGGUGCUCUAUUGCACAGAAAGGCCACUAUAGUUAAUAAUAAUGUACUGUAUAUCUCAAAAGAGAUACACAAUAUCUAGGAGAGGAUUUUGAGAAAUAUAAAUGUUAUAAGAUUAAAUGAGAUGGCAAGGUCUAGUAUUU
rnacentral:lncRNA from 1 species